rnacentral:misc_RNA from 1 species
GUGGAUAUGGAGAAACCGAAGAUAGCAUUCAUUGCCAUCAUGGUAUAGUUUCAGCUGAGAUAGGGCAACUCUCCGCAAUUCCUCCAAAGCAGAGAACACUGGAAGCAAUUGAAGUCUACAAAAGAAACAAGAAACAUGUUCCACAAGAAGCAUUCAGGGGAGGUUUCAUAUUAGAAAAGAUCGCGACACCUUUAUCAACAGGGCACAUUAGCUUGAAG